AACCGAGAGCAAACGUUCAAAACAAGCGCAUGCGUUCAGCUUGUAUCAUGCUUCGUCGUCAUCGAUUUGCAACUGCGUAGAACAGUUGCAAUCAGCCCUCUGCUUUCCCGAUAAGGCUGACACAGACCUACGUACAAGUGGCUCUGGCCAGCAGUCUGUAGAGGUCUGUUAGCUACUGAUCUAAACAGUCAUCAAAACCUCGCUUCGCGGAACAUCUCAACAAGUCCUUCCCCCAAGAUGAAAUUACUAGCCGUCGUUCUGGUAACACUUUCUGUUCUCCCUGUUGUCCACCUAGCGCCGAGGUACUUCAAUGGAGAGCGCCAUUUCUCCAGGAUUCGACUAUGUUGCCAUCUGGCGGAUUAGUACCGAUGACGUCGUAGUGGCGCGGCGCGGUGACUGUCCCUGGUCGCCUCACAAAAGCAGCGAAGCACGCGUAUAGAUCCAGUCGGUUAUUAUGUCACACACAAGGUAGCUUACGAUUAGAGUGCGGAGGAUCUUGCUAUAAGAGAUGCACAAUCACUGGCGAAGAAACAGAGGUGGUAAGGGGCUGUGCAUCUCCGAAGAGAAACGAUACCUGUA